UUUUUGCCAAUACUUCUGGCAAUCGGACUUCCUGUAGGCUGUGCCUGCUGUGUUGUAGUUAUUCUCACAUGCUCACUCUGGCCUCUCUAGGGUAUGCCUGUGAAAAACAGCAACAUUCGGUUCUUCUCCCAUUCCUCAAUGACCAACACUUCACAUCAGUACAAACACCCAGUGAAGUUUAGAAGGAUUUAGCCCAAGGACUCUGAACACAACACUAAAAGCCUGCAAGGAAGAAGUUUAUGACAAUCUUCAUCAUGUUUAUUAACUGACAAGACUGCUCAGGACAUCUGCUCCCUCAGCAGACUGCAGGCUCAGCACAGAAUGUAGUACUUAAUGUCAUUUGCCUUCAUCAGGGCUUUCUGAUCUGGUUAUCUCCUAUACCCUUAGCUUUGGAUUGUGUUGUUGUUAUUGUUGCUCCACGUUUUAGUGGAACCCAAGGAGUCUUAACAAUAAGCUUAGAGGUAGCACUUGGCCACUUACCCAUUGGAAAUGAGUUUUCCAGACAUGGGGAUUUUGUCUCUGAUGGAAAUCCCUGUGAGCUUUUGGAACGGCAGGCGAGUAUAAAAGUUCUUCACGCUAUCAUUCAGCACAACUGCACAGAGGAAAAACAAAUACAGAUGAUUAGACUUUUG
rnacentral:lncRNA from 1 species